AGCGAACGCUGGCGGCAGGCCUAACACAUGCAAGUCGAACGGACCCUUCGGGGUUAGUGGCGGACGGGUGAGUAACACGUGGGAACGUGCCUUUAGGUUCGGAAUAGCUCCUGGAAACGGGUGGUAAUGCCGAAUGUGCCCUUCGGGGGAAAGAUUUAUCGCCUUUAGAGCGGCCCGCGUCUGAUUAGCUAGUUGGUGAGGUAACGGCUCACCAAGGCGACGAUCAGUAGCUGGUCUGAGAGGAUGACCAGCCACACUGGGACUGCGACACGGCCCAGACUCCUACGGGAGGCAGCAGUGGGGAAUCUUGCGCAAUGGGCGAAAGCCUGACGCAGCCAUGCCGCGUGAAUGAUGAAGGUCUUAGGAUUGUAAAAUUCUUUCACCGGGGACGAUAAUGACGGUACCCGGAGAAGAAGCCCCGGCUAACUUCGUG
rnacentral:rRNA from 1 species